CAGUUGGUAGAGCGGAGGACUGU
rnacentral:piRNA from 2 species